rnacentral:rRNA from 1 species
UACGGAGGGUGCAAGCGUUAAUCGGAAUUACUGGGCGUAAAGCGUGCGUAGGCGGUUCGUUAAGUCUGUUGUGAAAGCCCCCGGGCUCAACCUGGGAAUGGCAAUGGAUACUGGCGAGCUAGAGUGUGUCAGAGGAUGGUGGAAUUCCCGGUGUAGCGGUGAAAUGCGUAGAGAUCGGGAGGAACAUCAGUGGCGAAGGCGGCCAUCUGGGACAACACUGACGCUGAGGCACGAAAGCGUGGGGAGCAAACAGG